rnacentral:rRNA from 1 species
CGUAGGGACCAAGCGUUGUUCGGAUUUACUGGGCGUAAAGGGCGCGUAGGCGGCUUAACAAGUCACUUGUGAAAUCUCCGGGCUUAACCCGGAACGGCCAAGUGAAACUGUCAAGCUAGAGUGCGGAAGGGGCAAUCGGAAUUCUUGGUGUAGCGGUGAAAUGCGUAGAUAUCAAGAGGAACACCUGAGGUGAAGACGGGUUGCUGGGCCGACACUGACGCUGAUGCGCGAAAGCCAGGGGAGCAAACGGGAUUAGAUACCCCGGUAGUCCUGGCCCUAAACGAUGAAUACUUGGUGUCUGGAGUUAUAUGUGCUCCGGGUGCCGUCGCUAACGUUUUUAGUAUUCCGCCUGGGGAGUACGCUCGCAAGAGUG